rnacentral:rRNA from 1 species
UAGGGAAUCUUCCACAAUGGACGAAAGUCUGAUGGAGCAACGCCGCGUGAGUGAAGAAGGGUUUCGGCUCGUAAAUCUCUGUUGUUAAAGAAGAACAUAUCUGAGAGUAACUGUUCAGGUAUUGACGGUAUUUAACCAGAAAGCCACGGCUAACUACGUG